rnacentral:rRNA from 1 species
UACAGAGGGUGCGAGCGUUAAUCGGAAUUACUGGGCGUAAAGGGCGCGUAGGCGGUCUUAUAAGAUUGUUGUGAAAUCCCUGGGCUUAACCUAGGAACUGCAACGAUGACUGUAAGGCUUGAGUAUUGUAGAGGGUAGUGGAAUUUCCGGUGUAGCGGUGAAAUGCGUAGAGAUCGGAAGGAACACCAGUGGCGAAGGCGGCUACCUGGACAAAUACUGACGCUGAGGCGCGAGAGCGUGGGGAGCAAACAGG